rnacentral:rRNA from 1 species
AGAGUUUGAUCCUGGCUCAGAUUGAACGCUGGCGGCAUGCCUUACACAUGCAAGUCGAACGGUAACAGGUCUUCGGAUGCUGACGAGUGGCGAACGGGUGAGUAAUACAUCGGAACGUGCCCAAUCGUGGGGGAUAGCUCGGCGAAAGCCGGAUUAAUACCGCAUACGAUCUACGGAUGAAAGCAGGGGACUCGCAAGGGCCUUGCGCGAAUGGAGCGGCCGAUGGCAGAUUAGGUAGUUGGUGGGGUAAAGGCUCACCAAGCCGACGAUCUGUAGCUGGUCUGAGAGGACGACCAGCCACACUGGGACUGAGACACGGGCCCAGACUCCUACGGGGAGGCAGCAGUGGGGAAUUUUGGACCAAUGGGCGGCAAGCCUGGAUCCAGCAAUUGCCCCCGUUGCAGGAUGAAAGGGCUUCCGGGUUUGUAAACCUGGCUUUUUGUACGGGAACGAAAAAACUCUUGGGUAAAUACCUGGGGGGCCCUGGCGGGUCCGUAAAAAUUAACACCGGCUAACUACCUUGCCAGCAACCCCGGUAAAUAACUAAGGGGGGAGCGGUUAAUCGGAAUUACUGGGCGUAAAACGUGGGCAAGCCGGGGAUGGUUAGAACAGUUGUUGAAAUCUCCCGGGCUCUAACCCUGGAGAACUGCGAUCUCUGUGACUGGCUCGCAUCGAGUUGACUGCAGCAUAGGCGAUAUGAAACUCCUCGCGUGUUAGCAGAUGAACUGCGGUAGAAUACUGCGGGAAGAGACACCCUGAUGUGCGAACGGCCAUUCCUCCUGGGUGCUUGCGCAUUGUACGCCUCAUUGCAACGAAAGCGUGGGGGAAGCAAACCAGGAUGAGAUUCCCCUGGUGAGUCCCACCGCCUUAAACCGAUGGUCAAUCUGAGUUUGUUGGGUUCUUAAACUGACUCAGUAAACAAAGUCUAACCGCGUGAAAGUUGACCCGCCUGGGGGAGUACCGCCCGCCAAGGUUUGAAACUUCAAAGGGAAUUUGACGGGCGACCCCGCCCAAGGCGGUGAGAUGAUGGGGUUUUAAUUUCGAAUGCCAACCGCGGAAAAAACCUUUCCCCCACCUUUUGACCAUGUUACGGGACUUUCGCCCAGAGAGAUGGCUUGGGUGCUUCGAAAAGAAGAAGCCGGUAACCACCAGGGUGCCUGCCAUGGCUGUUCGUUCAGCUUCGUUGUCGUGAGGAUGGUUGGGUUAAGUCCCCGGCAACGAAGCGGCAACCCUUGGUCAUUAGUUGCUACAUUUCAGUUUGGGCACUCUAAUGAGACUGCCGGUGACAAACCCGGAGGAAGGUGGGGAUGACGUCAAGUCCUCAUGGCCCUUAUAGGUGGGGCUACACACGUCAUACAAUGGCUGGUACAAAGGGUUGCCAACCCGCGAGGGGGAGCUAAUCCCAUAAAGCCAGUCGUAGUCCGGAUCGCAGUCUGCAACUCGACUGCGUGAAGUCGGAAUCGCUAGUAAUCGUGGAUCAGAAUGUCACGGUGAAUACGUUCCCGGGUCUUGUACACACCGCCCGUCACACCAUGGGAGCGGGUUCUGCCAGAAGUAGUUAGCCUAACCGCAAGGAGGGCGAUUACCACGGCAGGGUUCGUGACUGGGGUGAAGUCGUAACAAGGUAACC